rnacentral:lncRNA from 1 species
AUUGCACCAAUGGACUCCUAAAUUUCUCAAACCAUCAUUCCAUCGCCCGUCUCAUUUAUGAAUUAUUUGCAACUUGAUCCCUGAACUUUCACUUCUUCUCGCUUUGGUCCUUUUUCAUUUGUUUCUUCCAAAUUUCACUGUUUUCACCAAAAUGCAACCUAAACCAAAAUAUAAGAGUAAUGCGUGCAUUUUAGCAUAAUAUAAUCACAUGAAUGCAAUAAUUAAGAGGGGAAAAUAUGGUAUUUU